UCCUUAGUCGUAACGUGUGACGUAACCGGUGGAGAGGAGAGGGGAGAGCUGCAACGCCUGAAUGGCGGGACAAAGUCGGAAAAACGAAUGAAAAUAUGGAGAAAAACAAUGUUUGAGUCGUCGCUCGUUUCUUAGGACUGUGUAAAACUUAACUUCUGAAGAAAACUGGACGCUAUAAUAAGUUGUGGAGCUGUUUUUGUCGAACACCAGUGAGGCUGGACGCUGAGCACGCGGAGGACUGAGAGUUGAAGCAGGAAACAGCUGAGCUGACAGAAGAGACAGACGUGAAGAUUUCCACAAGCUCCAGGACUUCAGCUGCUGAUGACGACGACGACGACUCCUCCUGCAGAGACACAACAUGUUAGUAACAGGAACUUACUGCUGUUUAGUUACUACUUAUUACCAUUAAUUUGUAUUAAUUACCAUUUAAUUAUUUAAAUUAUUAGAGUAAUGACUAAUAAUGUUACUACCAUUUAUGUUAGUGUAACUAAUUACACUGUUUACUAAUUCAAUUAAUUUGUUCUAUGAUGUGUUUUUAAAUAAAUAAAAAAACAUGUUCUUACCUUCA